rnacentral:lncRNA from 1 species
CCAGCGCUCUCCGGUCCCCUCGGCCUCUUGGCUUCUGGAGCCAGCACGGCGGCACCUGGGGCUUUGGAACACGUGGGGACAGUCGCCGGAGGCCGGAGACUCUGUACGGCUAGUGAAAUGGAGAGAGUAUUUGUGCUGAUUUUAGAAGAAGCUGAAAAGCCUCAGGAGGCUGGAGAGAAAUCGUGGUUUAAUUUGAUAGCACAACUACAAAACGAAGCAUCAACGUCUCUACCUGCUCUUCUGGAAAGGCCUAGACUGGUUCCUGCUACCUCGGGAAGUCUGUAAGAAGCUUCCUGUCAGGGACUGAAGAUUGCCUUGGAAUCAAGCUCUCCCUUAUGCUGGUACCUGGUACCUGUUCUGCUCAUCUUACUUACAGAUCACCUGGCUCCUGCUGCCCUGCCUCAGCUUUUGACCACCUGCCUUGCCUUCCAGCUCUGGGAACCUCCAGUUCAUCUCUGCCUUCCUUCUCAUCCACCAGCCGUUUGCUCUGAUCGCCCACAUAGUCACUGAUAGAUUUUUUUUCCUUGUGUCUUGGUCUUUAACUGAUGGCAACAUCAUGACCUUUGACUCCUGUGUGUGGUUGGAAUGUGAGCCAUGUAAUAUAGUUGCUUUUGAUCUCUUCAUCUGGUUCCCCUUCAUCAGAAUUUGCUUUGCAUAUUAUUCUCCUUGAUUGUGAGCCAGGCCUUGUUUAAUCAUUUAUUUUGCACAAGGACACUAUUCCCACUCCCUUAGGAUGGUAAAAACUUAAGUGAAGAAAUGACCAAAUCCAGUUCAGCUGAUUUUUAAGCAAGGUUUAUCUGAAUGAAUCUAACAGUAGCAUUUAAUAAAGUAUUCUUGAUUGU